GAUGAACGCUGGCGGCGUGCCUAAUACAUGCAAGUCGAGCGAACGGACGAGAAGCUUGCUUCUCUGAUGUUAGCGGCGGACGGGUGAGUAACACGUGGAUAACCUACCUAUAAGACUGGGAUAACUUCGGGAAACCGGAGCUAAUACCGGAUGAUAUUUUGAACCGCAUGGUUCAAAAGUGAAAGACGGUCUUGCUGUCACUUAUAGAUGGAUCCGCGCUGCAUUAGCUAGUUGGUAAGGUAACGGCUUACCAAGGCAACGAUGCAUAGCCGACCUGAGAGGGUGAUCGGCCACACUGGAACUGAGACACGGUCCAGACGCCUACGGGAGGCAGCAGUAGGGAAUCGUCCGCAAUGGGCGAAAGCCUGACGGAGCAACGCCGCGUGAGUGAUGAAGGUCUUCGGAUCGUAAAACUCUGUUAUUAGGGAAGAACAUAUGUGUAAGUAACUGUGCACAUCUUGACAGUACCUAAUCAGAAAGCCACGGCUAACUACGUG
rnacentral:rRNA from 1 species